UGCAGUCGAGCGGAACGACUUAACUGAACCUUCGGGGAACGUUAAGGGCGUCGAGCGGCGGACGGGUGAGUAAUGCCUAGGAAAUUGCCCUGAUGUGGGGGAUAACCAUUGGAAACGAUGGCUAAUACCGCAUGAUGCCUACGGGCCAAAGAGGGGGACCUUCGGGCCUCUCGCGUCAGGAUAUGCCUAGGUGGGAUUAGCUAGUUGGUGAGGUAAUGGCUCACCAAGGCGACGAUCCCUAGCUGGUCUGAGAGGAUGAUCAGCCACACUGGAACUGAGACACGGUCCAGACUCCUACGGGAGGCAGCAGUGGGGAAUAUUGCACAAUGGGCGCAAGCCUGAUGCAGCCAUGCCGCGUGUGUGAAGAAGGCCUUCGGGUUGUAAAGCACUUUCAGUCGUGAGGAAGGUGGUGGAGUUAAUAGCUCUAUUAUUUGACGUUAGCGACAGAAGAAGCACCGGCUAACUCCGUGCCAGCAGCCGCGGUAAUACGGAGGGUGCGAGCGUUAAUCGGAAUUACUGGGCGUAAAGCGCAUGCAGGUGGUUUGUUAAGUCAGAUGUGAAAGCCCGGGGCUCAACCUCGGAAUAGCAUUUGAAACUGGCAGACUAGAGUACUGUAGAGGGGGGUAGAAUUUCAGGUGUAGCGGUGAAAUGCGUAGAGAUCUGAAGGAAUACCGGUGGCGAAUGCGGCCCCCUGGACAGAUACUGACACUCACAUGCGAAAGCGUGGGGAGC
rnacentral:rRNA from 1 species